GAUGAACGCUGGCGGCGUGCUUAACACAUGCAAGUCGAACGAUGAACCGGGUGCUUGCACUCGGGGAUUAGUGGCGAACGGGUGAGUAACACGUGAGCAACCUGCCCCUGACUCUGGGAUAAGCGCUGGAAACGGCGUCUAAUACUGGAUAUGUCCCGUCACCGCAUGGUGUGCGGGUGGAAAGAUUUUUCGGUCAAGGAUGGACUCGCGGCCUAUCAGCUAGUUGGUGAGGUAACGGCUCACCAAGGCGACGACGGGUAGCCGGCCUGAGAGGGUGACCGGCCACACUGGGACUGAGACACGGCCCAGACUCCUACGGGAGGCAGCAGUGGGGAAUAUUGCACAAUGGGCGCAAGCCCGAUGCAGCAACGCCGCGUGAGGGAUGACGGCCUUCGGGUUGUAAACCUCUUUUAGUAGGGAAGAAGCGAAAGUGACGGUACCUGCAGAAAAAGCACCGGCUAACUACGUGCCAGCAGCCGCCGUAA
rnacentral:rRNA from 1 species